AGACUUAUCUAAGAGACAAAAAGACUAAAAAGACAUGGCAAACUCAAGCAGCUGAUGCAGCUCAUAAAAGGAAUGCAGCACUUUUAAAUUAAUUAGGAAGAAGGAAUCAGAAAGGAGGAAAAUGCAGUGGAAGAAUAUGAGGAUAUAGAAGCAGCAGAAAAAAAGCUGCAAGAGAGAAUGUAUUUACUUCCACAUCCUGAUACUGUUAAG